rnacentral:rRNA from 1 species
CAGGUAGUAGUGGGUGUAGCGUACNUACUAGCCUACGACGGGUACGGGUUGUGAGAGCAAGAGCCCGGAGAUGGAUUCUGAGACACGAAUCCAGGCCCUACGGGGUGCAGCAGGCGCGAAAACUUUACAAUGCUGGAAACAGCGAUAAGGGGACCUCGAGUGCCAGGUUACAAAUCUGGCUGUCGUGAUGCCUAAAAAGCAUUGCAUAGCAAGGGCCGGGCAAGACCGGUGCCAGCCGCCGCGGUAACACCGGCGGCUCGAGUGGUAACCGUUAUUAUUGGGUCUAAAGGGUCUGUAGCCGGCCGGAUAAGUCUCUUGGGAAAUCUGGCAGCUUAACUGUCAGGCUUUCAGGAGAUACUGUCUGGCUCGAGGCCGGGAGAGGUGAGAGGUACUUCAGGGGUAGGGGUGAAAUCUUGUAAUCCUUGAAGGACCACCAGUGGCGAAGGCGUCUCACCAGAACGGACCUGACGGCAAGGGACGAAAGCUAGGGGCACGAACCGGAUUAGAUACCCGGGUAGUCCUAGCCGUAAACGAUACUCGCUAGGUGUCGGCAACGGUGCGACCGUUGUCGGUGCCGUAGGGAAGCCGUGAAGCGAGCCACCUGGGAAGUACGGCCGCAAGGCUGAAACUUAAAGGAAUUGGCGGGGGAGCAC